UACGUAGGGUGCAAGCGUUAAUCGGAAUUACUGGGCGUAAAGCGUGCGCAGGCGGUUGUGUAAGACAGAUGUGAAAUCCCCGGGCUCAACCUGGGAACUGCAUUUGUGACUGCACGGCUGGAGUGCGGCAGAGGGGGAUGGAAUUCCGCGUGUAGCAGUGAAAUGCGUAGAUAUGCGGAGGAACACCGAUGGCGAAGGCAAUCCCCUGGGCCUGCACUGACGCUCAUGCACGAAAGCGUGGG
rnacentral:rRNA from 1 species